rnacentral:tRNA from 1 species
GGGGGAGUCGCAUAGUGGCAAUUGCAACAGACUGUAAAUCUGUCCUCUUCGGAGUUCAUUGGUUCGAGUCCAAUCUCCCCCA